AGAGAAGAUGGCGGCGCUGGGGGAGCCUGUCCGGCUGGAGAGAGAUAUUUGCAGAGCAAUUGAGUUGUUGGAGAAACUACAAAGGAGUGGAGAGGUACCCCCACAGAAACUUCAAGCUUUACAAAGAGUCCUUCAGAGUGAGUUCUGCAAUGCUGUGAGGGAGGCAUACGAACAUGUCUAUGAGACUGUAGACAUCAGUAGCAGUCCUGAAGUGAGAGCUAAUGCAACCACAACGGCUACUGUCGCUGCAUUUGCUGCCAGUGAAGGACACUCUCAUCCUCGUGUUGUGGAGCUUCCAAAAACAGAAGAGGGCCUUGGAUUUACUAUCAUGGGAGGCAAAGAACAAAACUCUCCCAUCUAUAUAUCACGAAUAAUUCCGGGUGGAAUUGCUGAUAGACAUGGGGGCCUGAAAAGAGGAGAUCAACUACUUUCUGUGGACGGCGUGAGUGUUGAAUGAGAGCAUCACGAGAAAGCUGUAGAGCUGCUGAAGGCAGCCCAAGGAAAGGUU